rnacentral:rRNA from 1 species
GGGGAAUAUUGCACAAUGGGCGCAAGCCUGAUGCAGCCAUGCCGCGUGUGUGAAGAAGGCCUUCGGGUUGUAAAGCACUUUCAGCGAGGAGGAAGGUGGUGAACUUAAUACGUUCAUCAAUUGACGUUACUCGCAGAAGAAGCACCGGCUAACUCCGUGCCAGCAGCCGCGGUAAUACGGAGGGUGCAAGCGUUAAUCGGAAUUACUGGGCGUAAAGCGCACGCAGGCGGUUUGUUAAGUCAGAUGUGAAAUCCCCGGGCUCAACCUGGGAACUGCAUUUGAAACUGGCAAGCUAGAGUCUCGUAGAGGGGGGUAGAAUUCCAGGUGUAGCGGUGAAAUGCGUAGAGAUCUGGAGGAAUACCGGUGGCGAAGGCGGCCCCCUGGACGAAGACUGACGCUCAGGUGCGAAAGCGUGGGGAGCAAACA